AGAGCGAACGCUGGCGGCAGGCCUAACACAUGCAAGUCGAGCGCCCGUAGCAAUACAGAGCGGCGCACGGGUGAGUAACACGUGGGAACAUGCCCUUCGGUUCGGAAUAACUCAGGGAAACUUGAGCUAAUACCGGAUACGCCCUUACGGGGAAAGAUUUAUCGCCGAUCGAGUGGCCCGCGUAGGAUUAGCUAGUUGGUGGGGUAAAAGCCUACCAAGGCGACGAUCCUUAGCUGGUUUGAGAGAACGACCAGCCACACUGGGACUGAGACACGGCCCAGACUCCUACGGGAGGCAGCAGUGGGGAAUCUUGGACAAUGGGGGAAACCCUGAUCCAGCCAUGCCGCGUGAGUGAUGAAGGCCCUAGGGUUGUAAAACUCUUUCGCGCACGACGAUAAUGACGGUAGUGCGAGAAGAAGCUCCGGCUAACUUCGUGCCAGCAGCCGC
rnacentral:rRNA from 1 species